rnacentral:rRNA from 1 species
AACGUAGGAGACAAACGUUAUCCGGAGUUACUGGGCGUAAAGGGCGUGUAGGUGGUUGCGUAAGUCUGGCGUGAAAUUUUUCGGCUUAACCGGGAAAGGUCGUCGGAUACUGCGUAGCUAGAGGACGGUAGAGGCGUGUGGAAUUCCGGGUGUAGUGGUGAAAUGCGUAGAGAUCCGGAGGAACACCAGUGGCGAAGGCGACACGCUGGGCCGUACCUGACACUGAUGCGCGACAGCAUGGGGAGCAACAGG